rnacentral:pre_miRNA from 14 species
UCUUCGGAGACGAGGGUGGUCGCUGAUCCUGGACGAGCCUCCAAAUGAAAGACCCCCAGAGCAGGGAGACCCUCACUCAAGUCUUGGGAUGAUGUGACCCCCCAAGAACUCACACAAGACC